AUUUUCACGCUAAACAUUUACUGGACUGAUUUAAACAUUAAAAUCACUCCUUUCUGAUCCUCUGCUGUACGUUCAAACCUGAGGCCUUAAAUAGAAACACACAAGUAUCUGAUUGAAGGAACUUCUGCAGAGUCCUGGUUCCAGAACAUGAUGAUAGAAUUAUAGACAAACUUUAACAAAAGCUGCCUGAGAGUUUACAGGUUUUUAUGUUGGAUUUAAUGAGUUAUCAGCAAAAAUCAAGUGUUCAUUUGAUGAACUUCAUUUCCUAAAACAUCCAGAAUUGGAGCUCAUAUCUUUGGCAGCUGUAAAGUUUCUGCUCCUUCAAAGUUCACAACACAAUGAAUUAAUUCCUAAAACACUCUCAAUGCUGGAGAACGUUUGUGAUGCUGAAGCAGUGACCAGUUUUUCUGUUUCUUCUCUGGAGAUGCACAAUGAGGGACGUCUGCAGAGACUGAGAAAGAGUCUCACCACAUCCUGACAUGAGGAAAAAGACUUUAUUGAAGACUACAAUGAGAAAAACUAUCAGACAGCAGAUGGCUGCAUUCAAGUCUGUAGCUGCUGAAUUCAUGGAUGAAUCAUCUAGCACUAGAGAAGAAGACCAUCAAACAUCCACGUCAGCUGAUGGAGAUCAAAGAGUCUCACCAAACAAACAACCUACAGAGUGAAGACCUCGAAUCUGAUUGGAUGGCCUCCUAUUCAGCCACAUUUUAGGCUGUUAGAUUGUUCCAGAUAAGACAAGUACAAGAUUCUUCAGAGCCGUUCUACCACGAGCCUGACAGGAAGAACUCCAACAGCUACUGAAUGUUCCUGUGGUCCCCUCAAGGCUACAGGAGGAGCCCUACGAGGACGAGCCGGUCCACCUGAUGGCGGCCAGUCGCUGCGGUUCAAAGCCAACACCGACUACAUGGACUUCUACUGGAC
ensembl:lncRNA